rnacentral:misc_RNA from 1 species
AAAUUUAGACUAAACUUGUACAGGACAUAACAUUUUUCCUAUUUUAUUAGUUCUUCAUCCUCGCCGCUCUUCUCGCUGUCGCUGCUGCCGAUUCUUACAGGUCAGCCGAAUACGCUCCCAAGUACGAAGCUCCGGCAUACAAAUCUACAUAUGAAGCCAAAUACGAGACUCCCCAACCUUACGACUUCAGCUGGGCCGUCAAUGAUUACUACAACGACUACGAACACUCUGAGAAGAGCGACGGCAAUGUCGUAACCGGAUCAUACCGUGUCGUUCUUCCCGACGGCCGCACCCAAAUUGUCACCUACAAGGCCGACAGCUACGGAUAUGUCGCCGACGUCAAGUACACCGGUGAAGCCAAGUACCCCGAAUACGUCGCAUCCAACUACAAAGCUACCACCUACUCCGCUCCUGCUUACAAGCCCACCGCUCCCACCUACUCCGCUCCUGCUUACAAGCCCACUGCUCCCACUUACACCGCUCCCACAUACACUGCCCCGGCCAAAAAGGGUCCCACCUACACCGUCACCGCUCCCACAUACUCUGCCCCGGCCCCGGCUUACACCGCCACUCCGGUCUACAAAGCCCCCGCAGUUCAGCCCCAGUACUAAAUUGAAAGUUGAUUCAAACCACUGAAAUGUCUGUAUCUAAACCUAUUAUUUAAUAAAAAUUUCAAUUCAAUCAAA